AUACGUAGGGUGCGAGCGUUGUCCGGAAUUACUGGGCGUAAAGCGCUCGUAGGUGGUUUGUCGCGUCGUCUGUGAAAUUCCGGGGCUUAACUCCGGGCGUGCAGGCGAUACGGGCAUAACUUGAGUACUGUAGGGGAGACUGGAAUUCCUGGUGUAGCGGUGAAAUGCGCAGAUAUAAGGAGGAACACCGGUGGCGAAGGCGGGUCUCUGGGCAGUAACUGGCGAUGAGGAGCGAAAGCAUGGGUAGCGAACAGGAUAAGAUCCCCUGGUAGUCGAUGCCGUAAACGGUGGGCGCUUGGUGUAGGGGUCUCCCGCGACUUCUGUGCCGUAGCUAACGCAUUAAGCGCCCCGCCUGGGGAGUACGGCCGCAAGGCUAAAACUCAAAGGAAUUGACGGGG
rnacentral:rRNA from 1 species